rnacentral:lncRNA from 10 species
ACACCUCGCGCCCUGGGUUUUAGUGGAAGGCGCCCCAGGCUACCAGGGAUCGCGACACUGCUCUCCCGGUGACUUUCUUCGGGCCUGAGCUUCCCCCGGCUGGACGCAGUUUCUGAGGGUCCUUCCGGUUCACACUCUGCCACUCCGUGAUCCUCUUGGCUCCGGAGUGAAGAACCCUGCGUCUUUGUGCACGUGUCUGUGCGCCUGCCUGUGAGGGGGGUGGGGGUGCAGAGCGGGUAUCGCUUUUGGAUUUCCAUAGCAACUGCUCCUGUGUCACCCCAUUGCUCCCAAAGGUUUGAGCGGUUGCUUGUACAAAUUUACAUAUAUCUGCAUGUCAUUAACAUAGAGGCGGGGCCGGAACUUGUUUGGGCAACUAUCCCUGGACGGUUCUCUUUGCUUCUUCCUCAUCCCGUCUGAUAGGCAUGUGGGCUGCGCAUGCGUGAGUGUUUAGCCUGUCCAUGUUCUCAGAUGUGGGGUGGAUGAGUGAGCUGUGACAGUGACCAUCAGUUCCCUUUCCCCACGUCCCCUUAUUGAACCCUUAGCAUGAAUCCAUCCAGAUAUCCCUGACUGAAGACACCCAGCUUCCCAAGCAAUGCCAGGCCUUGUUGGCACUCCAAUUCCUUUUCUGGCUGUGUGGCCUUGACAAGUUUAGUUACCCUCUCUGUGGCUCAGUUUUCUUCUCUGUAAACAGGGAUACUAAUCUCUAACUUACCAGGUGAUGGGAGGGUUUAACUGGUUGCCACUUUUACACACACUAAUUGCUGCUUUCUGGCCUACAGUAGGCACUCAGUGGUGCUCCCUUCCUCCCUCCCUGGAGCCCAACUCUUCUCAGAACCCAACCAAAGCAAAUCAACUUCAGUUGCCGCUUAAGACAUGACAACUAGACACCAGAAGAACUUCCAGAUGUCAGGGCAGACUGGAUUUGAUGCACAGGAUGAGGACUAUUGUUUUCUCUAUUUGUCCUUCUUGGAAGCUGGAGGUCAGACAUGGAAGGCUGAAAAGGAAGAGGAACUUCCAAAUAAGGAGAAGAGGUGCUGCAGAGAAGUGGAUCCAGAUUCAGUUUCUCUGCAGGGAUCCCCCCCACACACUGUCCCCAUCACACUGGCAAAACCUUGGCUCCUGCCUCCUUAUCUGCAAUGAUCUCAGCAGAAAAGAGCUC